AAACCAACUGGGAUUACCUUAGUAACGGCGAGUGAAGCGGUAAAAGCUCAAAUUUGAAAUCUGGUACUUUCAGUGCCCGAGUUGUAAUUUGUAGAAUUUGUCUUUGAUUAGGUCCUUGUCUAUGUUCCUUGGAACAGGACGUCAUAGAGGGUGAGAAUCCCGUUUGGCGAGGAUACCUUUUCUCUGUAAGACUUUUUCGAAGAGUCGAGUUGUUUGGGAAUGCAGCUCAAAGUGGGUGGUAAAUUCCAUCUAAAGCUAAAUAUUGGCGAGAGACCGAUAGCGAACAAGUACAGUGAUGGAAAGAUGAAAAGAACUUUGAAAAGAGAGUGAAAAAGUACGUGAAAUUGUUGAAAGGGAAGGGCAUUUGAUCAGACAUGGUGUUUUUGCAUGCACUCGCCUCUCGUGGGCUUGGGCCUCUCAAAUUUCACUGGGCCAACAUCAAUUCUGGCAGCAGGAUAAAUCAUUAAGACGUAGCUACCUCGGUAGUGUUAUAGCUUUUUGGAAUACUG
rnacentral:rRNA from 1 species